rnacentral:lncRNA from 1 species
UACCAAUACAAUUCUUAAAUUAAUUAUUCACUAAUGUUUAAACUUAUACUUAUUUUAAAAUUUUUAACUAAACUUACACGUUACGAAAAAUAAUUAUAGAUUGAAUUUAUUUACCUUUAAAAAUGGAAAGAAUCUAGGAUAAUUGGAUAUUUCCGAAGGCACUUGUAAUUCAUCUAACUGAUUAAGAAAUUUAUCUGUCAUUUGUACUAUACA